AGAGUUUGAUCCUGGCUCAGGAUGAACGCUGGCGGCGUGCUUAACACAUGCAAGUCGAACGCACCUUCGGGUGAGUGGCGGACGGGUGAGUAACGCGUGGGAAUCUGCCCUUAGGAGGGGGAUAACGGCUGGAAACGGCCGCUAAUACCCCAUAUGCCGAGAGGUGAAACGAAUUUCGCCUGAGGAUGAGCCCGCGUCUGAUUAGCUAGUUGGUGGGGUAAGAGCCCACCAAGGCGACGAUCAGUAGCUGGUCUGAGAGGAUGAUCAGCCACACUGGGACUGAGACACGGCCCAGACUCCUACGGGAGGCAGCAGUGGGGAAUUUUCCGCAAUGGGCGAAAGCCUGACGGAGCAACGCCGCGUGAGGGAUGAAGGCCUCUGGGCUGUAAACCUCUUUUCUCAAGGAAGAAGACAUGACGGUACUUGAGGAAUAAGCCACGGCUAAUUCCGUGCCAGCAGCCGCGGUAAUACGGGAGUGGCAAGCGUUAUCCGGAAUUAUUGGGCGUAAAGCGUCCGCAGGCGGCUCUGUAAGUCUGUUGUUAAAGCGUGGAGCUCAACUCCAUUUCAGCAAUGGAAACUACAGGGCUUGAGUGUGGUAGGGGCAGAGGGAAUUCCCGGUGUAGCGGUGAAAUGCGUAGAUAUCGGGAAGAACACCAGUGGCGAAGGCGCUCUGCUGGGCCAUAACUGACGCUCAUGGACGAAAGCCAGGGGAGCGAAAGGGAUUAGAUACCCCUGUAGUCCUGGCCGUAAACGAUGAACACUAGGUGUCGGGGGAAUCGACCCCCUCGGUGUCGUAGCCAACGCGUUAAGUGUUCCGCCUGGGGAGUACGCACGCAAGUGUGAAACUCAAAGGAAUUGACGGGGGCCCGCACAAGCGGUGGAGUAUGUGGUUUAAUUCGAUGCAACGCGAAGAACCUUACCAGGGUUUGACAUCCUGCGAAUCCCUUGGAAACUUGGGAGUGCCUUCGGGAGCGCAGAGACAGGUGGUGCAUGGCUGUCGUCAGCUCGUGUCGUGAGAUGUUGGGUUAAGUCCCGCAACGAGCGCAACCCACGUCUUUAGUUGCCAGCAUUCAGUUGGGCACUCUAGAGAGACCGCCUGUGAUAAACCGGAGGAAGGUGUGGAUGACGUCAAGUCAUCAUGCCCCUUACAUCCUGGGCUACACACGUACUACAAUGCUACGGACAGAGGGCAGCAAGCUCGCGAGAGUUAGCAAAUCCCAUAAACCGUGGCUCAGUUCAGAUCGUAGGCUGCAACUCGCCUACGUGAAGGAGGAAUCGCUAGUAAUCGCAGGUCAGCAUACUGCGGUGAAUACGUUCCCGGGCCUUGUACACACCGCCCGUCACACCAUGGAAGUUGGCCAUGCCCGAAGUCGUUACUCCAACCC
rnacentral:rRNA from 1 species